CCGAACCCGCAACCUCAUGGUUCCUAGUCGGAUUCGUUAACCACUGCGCCACGACGGGAACUCCCCUGUUACCAUAUUAUACAGGUAAUUAUGGUGUAAUAACCAUGGGGUUUUGGCAGGUAUACAGUUAGGAAAUGAUGAUGUUACCCCAGAAAUGAUGAUCUUGGAAUGCUGCUAAUAAGCAGGUAGAAUGGAUGUGUCCCUCAAUGAUAGAAAUAAACAAGGUUAUUUUGCAGGUAUCCUAGUAGAAUAAAUUGUGUCCUUUGAUACAUAUUUCACAAUAGGUUUUUCAGGUUCCUGUCAAGAGUUCGUGAUAAACCUAACCAUGCACAUUGAUGAGGACGUGGCUGAUGUCUGGGUAAGUGAUGAUGUGGGCCCAAACCAAAGCACAGGCCACCUGGCUUGCAAAAAUGUAGGUAAGAAAUGAGGAUGUCCCUAACAUUUUGUGACAGCUAUUCAGUUUAUUUAUUUAUUUAUUAACUUUUAUUGAAAUAUAGUUGACUUACAAAGUUCUGUUAAUUUCAAGUGUACAGCAAAGUUAAAUCUGUUAUACAUAUACAUCUAUCCAUUCCUUUUCAGAUUCUUUUCCCCUAUAGGUUAUUACACAGUAGUGAGUAAAUUUCCCUGUGCUGUGCAGUAGGUCCUUGUUACCCAUCUAUUUUAGAUAUAGUAGGGUGUAUCUAACAAUCCCAACCCCCCUAAUUUAUCCUUUCCACAGGUAUUCAGUUUAGAAUAAUAUGGUCCUCACCAAUUCUGGUACCAUGAUUAGGGUGAGCCUGUAAUUUGUAGUUAAUAUGAGACAUCACUAGUGUCAAGGUAUGAGAUAAUGAGGACCUAAGCCACAGUUCAGACCAUUUGGUCUUCAGAUAGAUAGGUAAGUGAUUAUGGUAUCAGUAACAUAUAACGUCUUUUUUUUUUUUGGCCACGAUCCAUGGCGUGCAAAAGUUCCUGGGUCAGGAAUGAAACCCCUGCCACUUCAGUGACCUGAGCCACAGCAGUGAUGGUGCCAGAUCCUUAACUGCUAAGCCACCAAGGAAUUCCUGUAACAUAAUUUUAUUGCAUGCUAUUGAGUUCCAGUCAAGAGAUCACUGUUAAGCUCUCAAGUGGACAUUAGCGGGACUUUGUUUUUAACCAAGUAAAUUAUAACAUUGGUCCUACCACAAUACCAACCAUCUCAUCUUCAAAUAUCUAGGUGUCCCUCCAAGAGAGGAAGAUAUUUUUUUCUAAAGUUUGACCUUGGACUUCUGCCUAAUCCAGAUUCAUGUCAAGAUACCAUGGUGAGCCUGAUUAACAUGGGAUAUUGUUGUUAUCAAGACAAGUGAUGAUAUGGUCCUAAACCAUAGCACAGACCAUCUGAUCUUCAUACUUAGAGGUUCCCAUCAAGAUACACUGGUGAGUUAAACGGUGGUUAUUAAUGAAGGGACAUUUCUAGUAUCCAGGUAAGUGAUGAUCUUCAUAUCAGAGAUGUGAUCUUCCUUUAUCUGGGUAAAUGAUGUUGGAUCACUUUAACAUGUUUUAUAUGUGAGUUCUCAGCAGGUAUUCAGGCAGGAAGUGCUAAUGUUUUGCCAAUUCUAGUAACCACGUUAUCCUACUGUUUUAUAUUUAGAGAAAAUAUAUGUUUCACCCUGUGAGGAUGGAGUAAUUUGCAUUUAUUCAGGUAACUAUCCUGGAAUUCUGCUUCGUAACAAUAACCAUGAAGUUUCAUAGAUGUACAGUCAAGAGGUGAUGGUGUCUCUAAAUAUGACUAUACCUUGAAUACUGUAAAAAUCUUGUUAAGUUGAUGGGUCAUGCAAUGAUGGAAGUGGGGAAGGUUAUUUUCAGGUGUUCAUGUGGAAAAUGUGUGUCCGUGGGUGUACAUUUGUUACCAUGUGUUUUUCAGAUUCUAGUCAAGAAGUCAUAGUGAAGCUCAUCAUCAUCAAGGGACUUUGCAUUAUCUCAAUAAGUAAUGAUAUGAGCCUUCAGCACCUUUCAAAUCAUGUGAUGUUCAGACUUAGCUAAAUGAGGAUGAUGUCAUAGUGGUAACCAUGGGAUGUUUGCAGGUUUGCAGUGAAGACAUGGUGGUAUCUCUAACAGUGGUGUAGUACUUGGGGGUACUGCAAGUAUCGGGUAGAUCGAUGGGUCCUACAGUGAUGAAUGAGGAAGGCCAUUUAAGGUAUUGAGGUGAAAUAUGUGUCCAUGGACAUAUUUGUCACAAUAUAUCUUUCAGAGCCCAGUCAAGAGACCACAGUGAUUACAUAACAAGUGUUAACAGAGACUUUGCUUAUAUCCAAAUAAGUGGUGAUGGGGCUUUAAGCACCCUUCGGACAACUGAUCUUUAGAUUUCUUGGUAAGCAAGGUUGGUAUGUCUUAACAUUUAUGUGCCAUGUUUUGUUUUUUUAAAAAAAGAUAUUCAGGUAAGAAAUGAUGCUAUCUCAGCUGAAUCUAGUAAGCAUUCCCUCACAGUUUAAGAAUGUAAAUAUAGAGGUAUAUAUAGGUAAGGUAUCCUACUUUUCCACACAAUAGUAUUGAUCAUGAGAUUGUCACAUGUGCCCUGUAAAGAGGUGAUGGUGUCUCUUAGAACAUGGCCUUGAAGAACUGCCAGGAUGCAGGUAGUGUUGAUGGUUCCCUCAGUGAUAAAAGUGACCAAGAUUAUUUGCAGGUGUCAUUAUAGAGCAAGUUGUUUCCUUAAACAUAUCUGUCACAUGUAUUUUUUUCAGAUUCCAGUCAAAGAAUCAUGGUGAAUCUAACAGUGGUCAUUAUCAGGGCAUUGCUAGUAACCAGGCAAAUGGAAAAGUGGGUCUUAACUACAGACUGUUUGAUCUUCAGUAUCUGGGCGAGGCUAUCAAUGGAAGUUAACAAGGCACAUAGCAGGUAUUGAGGUAAGUGAUGAUUUGAGCCUAACCUACCUAUCAUAUGAUCUUCAUAAAUUUAGGUAAGUGACAACAGCAUUGCUUCCCUUUCUUGUUAGAAUGUUUUCAUUGCAGGUAUUCCAAUAAGAAAUGAUACAGCAUUCUCACCAUUCUCAUUGUCAUAAGUUUAUACCUUCAUAUUUUAGAGAAGCCUUAUGUUUACCAGUGAGCGUGUUCAGGAAUUGAUCGUGUUGGUAACUGUGGGCUUUCUCACCACAGUGGUAAAGAUAGGAUUUUUGCAGUUGUCCAGUCAAGAAAUGAUGGUCUCUCAUGACACUGCUGUUAACCUUGAUUUAAUACAAGUCUCCAGGUUGAGUUGAUGUGUUCGAUAAGAAUUGAAGUGAACAGGGUGCCAUGCAUGUAUCCUGGUAGAACAAGCUGUGUCCUUAAACAUGUUUUUCCCCCCCUAUAUGUUUUUUCAAGUUCUGUGAAGAGAGCACGAUGAGCCUAACACUGGUUGUUAAUGGACACUUGCUAGUAACCAAGUAAGUGAGAAGUGGGUCUCAGGACAGUAGAAACUAUCUGAUCCUCACUAUCCAGGUAAGUGAGGUUGGUGUCCUAACCCUCGUUUUAGCAUAUAUUGUUUUGUGUUUGCAGGUAUCCUGUUAACGUCUUUGCUAGCACACAGGUAUGAGAUGAUGUGGCAUUAACUCUAUUAGAGACUUUAUUUAUUUAUUUUUUGUCUUUUUUUUUUUUUU